rnacentral:rRNA from 1 species
GAUGAACGCUGGCGGCGUGCCUAAUACAUGCAAGUCGAGCGAACAGACGAGGAGCUUGCUCCUCUGACGUUAGCGGCGGACGGGUGAGUAACACGUGGAUAACCUACCUAUAAGACUGGGAUAACUUCGGGAAACCGGAGCUAAUACCGGAUAAUAUAUUGAACCGCAUGGUUCAAUAGUGAAAGACGGUUUUGCUAUCACUUAUAGAUGGAUCCGCGCCGCAUUAGCUAGUUGGUAAGGUAACGGCUUACCAAGGCGACGAUGCGUAGCCGACCUGAGAGGGUGAUCGGCCACACUGGAACUGAGACACGGUCCAGACUCCUACGGGAGGCAGCAGUAGGGAAUCUUCCGCAAUGGGCGAAAGCCUGACGGAGCAACGCCGCGUGAGUGAUGAAGGUCUUCGGAUCGUAAAACUCUGUUAUUAGGGAAGAACAAAUGUGUAAGUAACUAUGCACGUUUUGACGGUACCUAAUCAGAAAGCCACGGCUAACUACGUG